rnacentral:rRNA from 1 species
GACGAACGCUGGCGGCGUGCCUAAUACAUGCAAGUCGAGCGAGCUUGCCUAGAUGAUUUUAGUGCUUGCACUAAAUGAAACUAGAUACAAGCGAGCGGCGGACGGGUGAGUAACACGUGGGUAACCUGCCCAAGAGACUGGGAUAACACCUGGAAACAGAUGCUAAUACCGCAUAACAACAAAAACCACAUGGCUUUUGUUUGAAAGAUGGCUUUGGCUAUCACUCUGGGAUGGACCUGCGGUGCAUUAGCUAGUUGGUAAGGUAACGGCCCACCAAGGCGACGAUCAGUAGCCGGACUGAGAGGUUGAACGGCCACAUUGGGACUGAGACACGGCCCAG